rnacentral:rRNA from 1 species
UACGAAGGGGGCUAGCGUUGCUCGGAAUGACUGGGCGUAAAGGGCGCGUAGGCGGCCACUGCAAGUCAGUUGUGAAAUCUCCGGGCUUAACUCGGAAAGGUCAACUGAUACUGCAGGGCUAGAGUGCGGAAGGGGCAACUGGAAUUCCCGGUGUAGCGGUGAAAUGCGUAGAUAUCGAGAGGAACACCUGCGGCGAAGGCGGGUUGCUGGGCCGACACUGACGCUGAUGCGCGAAAGCCAGGGGAGCGAACGGG